AUGUUUACUGUGGGCUUAGACGUUGAUACGCGUGCCUACUUCACCGCAGCUACCAUGAUCAUAGCUGUGCCCACAGGAAUCAAAAUCUUUACUUGGAUCGCUACCAUGUGGGGAGGUUCGAUACAAUACAAAACACCCAUGUUAUUUGUUGUAGGGUUCAUCUUUUUGUUCACCAUAGGAGGGCUCACUGGAAUAGUUCUAGCAAACUCUGGGCUAGACAUUGCUCCACAUGAUACUUAUUAUGUGGUUGCACAUUUCCAUUAUGUACUUUCUAUGGGAGCCGUUUUUGCUUUAUUGCUGGAUUUUACUAUUGGGUGGGUAAAAUCUUUGGUCGGACAUAUCCUGAAACUUUAG
rnacentral:rRNA from 1 species